GGAUGUGAGGGCAAGUGGCUGAGACAUCUGUCACCCCACCGAUCAGCAGGGUUGAUUCGGCUGAUCUGGCCGGCUGUCCCCUUCCUGCCUCGACGCUCCAUGUGUGUCCCUCCCAAAGCUGCGCGCUCGGUGGAAGAGGGCGACCACCCCUGACAGAGGAGGACUGUUUCUCGGUAAAGGGUAUACAGCUGCGCUCCCCUGCUAGAACCUCCAAACAAGCUCUCAAGAGAAAAACAUGGACCUUGAGUUCCCAUCACUAAGAGAGAACAUUGAUCGCAGUAUUUUAUAUCUACUUUAUCCAUGUUUGCUAAUAUUUUAUAGCACCUUUAU
rnacentral:snRNA from 1 species